rnacentral:sRNA from 1 species
AAAAAACCGAAUUUCCACCAAACCGAAUAACCCGACCCGAAUAACCCAGUUUAACCGAACUCCCAGGCCUAGUGUUUCCUCUUAUCCAGCAAUUUUGUCUAUGCGUAAAUUGCUCUGUCACUGUCACUGUCACUGUCCGCUGCUUCUGUGUCCCCAAGAUUUUUCUCUUCUUCAACCUUGAAAAACCCU